CAAGAUUAGCAUGACCGCUGUGCAAGGAUGACAUGCAAAUUUGUGAAGUGUUCCAUAUUAAA
rnacentral:snRNA from 1 species